GAGCCCCAGCGCCGCAGGUUUGUCGUCUGCUGGCCUGUGCCUGGGGCUGGAGCGGGGCCCUGAGCCCGGCUACUGCGUCUCGCCUUUCCUCGGCAAGGCUCUGCAAAGCCAGCAGUUGGUUCUGCACCUCCUGGGGGCCGUGUGGCUGAAUUAUUGAUGGCGGGAGGUGAAAAGCAAUAAACAAGAAAUCAGCCAAAUUGCUAGCGUGAGGGAAGAACAGAAAUGCAGCAGAGGAGAGCAGCUUCCUAAGAUGUCUUCCUUGGGGCCAGGGGCUCCCAGUAAGGGAAGGGGAGUCAGCACUUGGAGGAAAAAUUGUAAGCACCUGUUCACAGGAGAAAAAUACCAGGACUGCAGCUGAGAUCUGCAAAUUUCACCUCUGCUUUCCAAAGGUACAACAGACAUGAUGCUGUCCAGGAGAAGGCAAGGAUGGUUUUGCCCUGAUGGAUUUGGAGCUCCUGUGAGAGCUGUCUGGGGGGUUGCUUUGGUUAGCAAAAGCAUCCUGAGGCUGUGAUAUAGCCUGAAAUAUCUUUGGUGCUCCAUGAUACCUAGAUAUUAACUUUGCUACAUCCCUUGUCUCACGGCCACUAAAUUAAUGAAGGAAUUAGCAUAAAGAUGCCUCUACCGACAUGCAGCUUUCCCUGACGUUGGCGGCACCACUCCCACCUUGUUUGCCAGCAGAAACGG